CCCAGUGCAGAGAUCAGUCCAUGUCAGGACACAAUUUAGAUAUGAGGGUCCAGAUUCAGUUUUGGGGGCUUCUUCUGCUCUGGACAUCAGGUAUACAGUGUGAUGUCCAGAUGACCCAGUCUCCAUAUAAUCUUGCUGCCUCUCCUGGAGAAAGUGUUUCCAUCAAUUGCAAGGCAAGUAAGAGCAUUAGCAAGUAUUUAGCCUGGUAUCAACAGAAACCUGGGAAAGCAAAUAAGCUUCUUAUCUACGAUGGGUCAACUUUGCAAUCUGGAAUUCCAUCGAGGUUCAGUGGCAGUGGAUCUGGUACAGAUUUCACUCUCACCAUCAGAAGCCUGGAGCCUGAAGAUUUUGGACUCUAUUACUGUCAACAGCAUAAUGAAUACCCACCCACAGUGAUACAAGCCAUAACAAAAACCCCCAUGGGAAGCAGAAACCAGAUGUUGGGCUGA